GCCAGGUGUGGUGGUGCACACCUGUAAUCUCAGCUACUGGGGAGGCUGAGGUGGGAGAAUCGCUUGAACCCAGGAGGUGGAGGUUGCAGUGAAUGAAGAUCAUGCCACUGCACUGCAGCCUUGGGUGACAGAGCGAGACUCCACCUCAA
ensembl:misc_RNA Metazoa_SRP Metazoan signal recognition particle RNA